GUGCUGGCGGGGCGCGGGCGGGGCAGCGCACAGGCCGGCCCUCUCGCGGGACUCAGUUUCCCCGUCUGCGCGCCCCACAUAUUCGCUUUCCGCAGGUUCUCUCGCUGAGAUUCGCGUCCUUCAAACUAAUGGAACUUUGCAAGGGGGCCCUGCGGCGGCUUCGCGUGGGAGCGCCGGGGAAAGUUCCUGCAAAUCGCCGGACUGGGGGCCCGCCCGGGAAGCUCGGACUGGGCCGGGCAGGGACUGCAGGGGCCUCUGCGCAGACCCGGGGCGUUGCGGCACCGCGGACCCCGGUCACGCGCUGGUUCUGCCCCCGGUACCCCGCACGCGGGACCCUGACCGCGGGGCCUCUGCGGCCGGACGAAGGCAGCGUCCGCGGAGCUGGCAGAAAGCCCGCGCCCAGACCCACAGUGAAGUGAUAAAAGCAGAGAGCAGAAGUAAUUCGAAUAGAAUCCUUCACACGUCUGAUUCUUUUAAAAAGUUGUUGUGGGUGGCAUGCGUGUCCGUAUUCGCAGAGAGCCUAGGAAGCGGCUCGGCAGCUCGUAACUGGCGAGGGUGGAGCGGUCUCAGAUGGGAAAGGGGUUUUCCCCUCUUUUGAUUUUUCACCAAGUGCGUGAUUAUUUCAAAACACUUGUUAUCAAAAAUUUGAUUUCCCACUGGAGAAUCUUUGGUGCAUCCGUUGGGACAGAUGCGAGUCCGAGAGUCAUCAGGAGGGCUGAGGGCGACCCUGGAGGUGGGUCUGGGUGCCCAGGCAGCACCAGGCCUGUGGGCAGUAGUCCUGGGUCCACACUGAGCAGAUGGGCACAGCUCGUGUCCAAGGACCUGAGAGGAGGCCCUUCGUCCAGCCCUCAUCCCGAACCCUCAAACCUCCACCCCCACCCUGGGCAGAGGCACCCAGGGUUGGGUGAGCCGGCAGAGCUGACUUUGGGAUAGAGUAGCAUGGGAGGGGGCUGGGGGCUUGGGGAUUUUAAUAUUCUUCUGUAUUUGGGUUGUUCCCUUGUGCACACGUUAUUUUUCCAAUACAAAUAGUUUAAAAAGUAAACUCCAAAUACCUAUAAGCCCCCUCAAAGCACCUUCCAAAUAUGAACCUUGUUAAUGCCCAAGGUCCAGAGGGGUCCCCCAGAAAGGCCCAGGAGCCUGGGGCAUGGGAAAGCUGUCGGGGUCCCCAUGCUGACUCCCUGGACUCCAAGCGAUAUUCCAUAAAGCCAGGGCCUCCUGGCUGCGGGAGGGAGGCCUUGACCCAAAAUCCAUUCGGCCCUGGAUACUGGAGAGGCAGAGGCCUCUGCUGAUGAGAAGCCCUGAGUUCCUGGCUAGCUGUGGUUAACCACAAAAAAUGCGGGGGGUGAUGAUUUUCGAAGUCCAUCGGCAAAGAAAGACUCCCCACUGCAGUCCUGGGGCAGAUGGAAUUAAAAGGACACGUGGUGGUGAAUAAAUUGGUGAUAACUUAUUUUUGUCGAAUUUCCUUAUUUUACAGAGGAGAAAACUGAGGGCCAGAAAGGGUGACUCCCCUGAGUGUCAUGCCACAAGUUGAGUGCUGGAGCCAGGACACCUUCCAAACCGGCUGUGCCUGCCUGCAAGCCCCAUCCUCCUCCAUCCCCCUGAGCAGCCAGACUGCAGAGGGAAUGAGCGGACCGAAAACAGUGUGGCCGCAACUUCCCCACUGCUUUGCGGGAGGUGGAGGGAGUUUCUAGGCUCUUUCCCUGUUGGGGAAUUAAGUAGCUGGGGAUCCCACUGAGUCUCCACCACCCUCUCACCCAUUUUCCACCCCUCCCCCACCACAUAUACAUUCUGCUCCCCCAGUGCCAAAUAACUUGCAUUUUCUGGAACACACCUGUCUGCUUACGGUCUCUGUGCCUUUCUUUGCCCACAUCUCCCCUCUUCUUGAAACACCCCUCCUCCCCUCCAGCGUGGGCUCAUGUGACCUAGAGAAGCACGUGGGAGCCCUGUCAUCUGGGGGACUUGGGUUCAAAUCCCACUUCUGGUCCUUAAGUCUGUGACUCUGGGCCUUUGUUUAAUAACUGGAGGAGUUUCAUUAGGAAAAUGGCAGUGACCACAUAUGUCCCUGGAGUGACUGAUGUGCCACCCACAAGCUUCUAUUUGGUCAGUGCUGGGUCCCAUCGUCCCAUCUAGCAUGCUCCUCUUCCAUCCUCGUGCCCCCACUCAGUGCCAUUGUCUCUGCCUCUCACCCUCUGUGCUGCUAUUCCUGCCCUCAUCACCUCCUCCCUAGGGCAGAGGCCCCGUCUUCUUUACCAUGCCCCAGUGCCAGCACAGUGCUUUGGCAAGUUAUUCAGCACUGGGGGAGUAGAGUGUAUGUGUGGUGGGGGAGGGGGUGGAGAAUGGGUAAGAGGGUGAUGGAGACUCAGGGGGACCCCCAGCUACUUAAUACCCCUGAGGAAGUGUCGGCCGAAGUGGACCCACUCCUGUGACAGUUCACAGCCUAGAAGAGGCGUCUGUAACCACGGUGACCAGCACCGGUUAUGAAGAAGACAAGCAGCUCUACAGAGGGGCCUCAAGAAAUCCUUCGAAACAGAAAUCAAAGUCUUGCUGGAAGGGUUCUGGGCACCCUGGACUGUCCACAUGGGAGGCUGUUGGUGCGUGUGCCUACGUGUGUCCAUCAGUGGAUGCACGAAGAAGGAAAUGAAUUGAUUCCAUUCUUGAUGUGACUUUCAGCUGUCAGCUGUCUGCACUCCCAGACGGGGUGAUGGCCUGGCACCAACGGAGCAUUACCCUGAUGAAUCAUGGUCGAGGGAACAAUUACCACCUUGAGGAAGGAGGCCUGAAAGCUAAGUCUUUGCUAUUGCAUCCGCCUUCUUCUCACGAAGACCUGCAGCUUGAAAGGAGGGGAGGGAGAAAUAGCCCUAAGCUCCAGGAAGACCAAGCCCAGCCUCUGUGAUGAUUCCGAGGAAAUUCAGGAAAUCCUUGCUAAUGGCCAAACUUCCCGGGUUUGAGAUGCAAAAGGAAAUCAGAUCGCAGGGUAAUGCUUUUACACUAAGCAAGAAAUUGCAGGAUAUAAAGCUGUGCAGACCAUUGCCUCUGAUUAAGAAAGCGAUUCUGAGAUUCCAGCCUGGAAGGAACCGGGCCCCAGUGUUAACUGUGGUUAAUUCUGGGUGGAGGGGUGAUGGGUGAUAAUUUCUCCUUUUUCUUUUCUGUACUAACCAUUAAUACUGGGGGGAUGGGCAGUUAAAAAUCAAAGGAAGAAAACAUAAAGAAAGCCAAAUCCUUUUCCAUCUGUAGCCAUUCAAGCUACUGCCUGGACACGCUCUCCUUGAAGCUGGGGCUCCUCUCUCAGCCCCACCUAACAUGGCCCACCUCCUUCCUGGGGUCACUCCGUGUUCCUCAAGCACUUCAAACUCAUCCUCUCCUGCCUCUGAGCUGAGCAUAUGGGCCUCUCCCCUUCCUUUAAAAGCUCCAUCCGUGACUGCCUUCUGGGGGUCAGCCACAUAGCUGAGUGAGGACCACAUGCUUCACACCAAAUGAUACAAGAAGCUUGUUCCAAAUCUAUGUGGGUUUUUUGACAUUUUAGAGAGCAGAUGCUUUCCCAUGCUUUCUAAUUCCCUAUUACAUCUAUACAUCUCUUUUAAAAGAUCCUGCAAGUCCUUUUAGUGUCUGGACACAGGUUAUUCCCUCCCUUUCUUUUUUCCCAAUUUCACCUGCCCCAGUCCUCCUGGUCAGUGCUUCUGUUUCCUGCACAAGGAAACAGCCUUGCAAACAUGGUGAACCCUGAAAGCAUGCUGGAAAUGAAAGAAGCCAGGUACAAAAGACAACAUACUAUAUGAUUUCAUUCACAAGAAAUGUGUGUAACAGAAAAAUUUACAGAGACAGAAAAUAAAUUCCUAGUUGCUUAGGGCUGGGAGAGUGGGGUGAGGCCUCUCUACAGAGAUGGCAAUGCCCAGGAUUCAAUCUGAAGAUGUUGUUUAGAUAUCACAGCAUAGUCGGACAAUAGUGAGGACAGUCUGGCAUUGGCGUACAGAUGAACAAAUAGAUUUGUGCAAUAGAAGAAGCCAAACCAGAUUCCAGCCUACCUCCAGUCACCUGAUUUAACAAAGUCAAAGUCACAAAUCAAUAGGGAGAGGAUGGUCUUUUCAGUAAAUGAUACCGUAUCAAUUGACUCGUCAUAUACAGAACAAAAUGAACUUUGGUCCCAUACACACACAAGUCAUAAAAGUUCACUCAAAGUGAAUGAUAGACCUACAUUUGAAAACAAAAGCAAUGCAGGAUCCAGGAGAAAGGGUCCAGGCAGGAGAAUAUUUUUAUGACCUUGGACUAAGCAAGAGAUUCAUAAACAGGACACAAAACCACUAACCACCAAAAAAAAGGACUGAUAAACAUGACAAUUAAAAUGAAGAAUUUA
rnacentral:lncRNA from 1 species